CCGCGAAAACUUUACAAUGCUGGCAACAGCGAUAAGGGAACCUCGAGUGCCAGGUUACAAAUCUGGCUGUCGAGAUGCCUAAAAAGCAUUUCAUAGCAAGGGCCGGGCAAGACCGGUGCCAGCCGCCGCGGUAACACCGGCGGCUCGAGUGGUAACCGUUAUUAUUGGGUCUAAAGGGUCUGUAGCCGGCCGGAUAAGUCUCUUGAGAAAUCUGGCAGCUUAACUGUCAGGCUUUCAAGAGAUACUGUCUGGCUCGAGGCCGGGAGAGGUGAGAGGUACUUCAGGGGUAGGGGUGAAAUCUUGUAAUCCUUGAAGGACCACCAGUGGCGAAGGCGUCUCACCAGAACGGACCUGACGGCAAGGGACGAAAGCUAGGGGCACGAACCG
rnacentral:rRNA from 1 species